rnacentral:rRNA from 1 species
UACGGAGGGUGCAAGCGUUAUCCGGAUUCACUGGGUUUAAAGGGUGCGUAGGUGGAUUUAUAAGUCAGUGGUGAAAGCCCCGAGCUCAACUUGGGAAUUGCCAUUGAUACUGUAGAUCUUGAGUGCGGUUGAGGUAGGCGGAAUGUUACAUGUAGCGGUGAAAUGCUUAGAUAUGUAACAGAACACCAAUUGCGAAGGCAGCUUACCAAGCCGAUACUGACACUGAGGCACGAAAGCGUGGGGAUCAAACAGG